rnacentral:lncRNA from 1 species
CGGCUGCCCUUGUCUGAUGGAAUAUUUAUAUAAUAAGUAUGAGCAGGUACAUUUCAAAGUUUUUGUAAAGGAGUAAUAUAAUUUGUGCCUUAGUGAAGAAGGGGGCGGAGAAUGUGUAGCAAACAGAACAACCAACACCAAUUUGGAAUCAAGUGUUGACACUUUACGACAGUCACAUGUAGAAAUCUUCUUAUCCGAAUUAUUACGUGGACAUAAAACAAAAGAUAGCAAAUAACACUAAUGAAUUCGUCACUUCAACUAGGCUCCAUUUUCAGAUCAGUGACUUUUUCAUUAUCCAUCGAACCUGCAUGGAGAAGCAAUAGAGUAGUAAGUUUCAUGUGCGAACUUUAUACACCAGAUUGUACACUAUUUCCUAACAAUGGUGAACUUGACAUCCAACAUCACAGAAUGACGGUAAAUUUGUGAACACGUAGUACAGCUAGGUAAAAUCUGUGAACAAAUAGUACUCCCUCCGUCCCAUAAUGUAAGACGUUUUUCGACACUACACUAGUGUAGUGUCAAAAAACGUCUUACAUUAUGGGACGGAGGGAGUACAUAACAAGCAGUAAAUAGUAUAACUAGCCUUCGCCUCUUGUACGACAGUAGCUAGCAAGUUCAUAUAGUCCAAUUCAAUUGUUGAGCGAUUGAAUUUUCAUCAUGAUACAACACCAGCAGCAGCUGCCAAAGUUCUGCUAAUCCCAAACACCUAGAACCAUGUCGUACAACCUGAAUUCUUUGAUCUGACCGUUCACUAAAAGCAAAAAUAUUCUAAACAUAUGCCAUACAAGUAUACACAAAAAAUCAAGGAUUUCUUUUCCUUUCUGAGUUGACUGAAACUGACAAGGAGCUAAGCUGAGCUGAAUACAACAAACACUCGAGCCAAAUAAAACAAAAAAACAUUGAUCUUCCAGAAAACAGAGAGGCUAAACAGAGAGAGAUUCACACGUUAAGGGAAAGAAAUGGAAGUCAACAUUAGGUUUAAGCAAGGUGCAUCUCAAGAGUGACAUCUUUGUGUAUUUUCAUACUAUUGUCCACUCGAGUUUCAGAAAAUACUGUGAAAUAGAUAUAAUAUUCUUGUCAACAAAUGAUACGAGUGUAUGGACUCCCACAUGUCUGAUAAUAAGGGAUCACAUUUAGAAAUAGAGGGGAGGAGUACUAGGACUUUGUAGACUUUUGCUUAGGUCAACCAACUUUUUAGUCAUCAUGAUUGACUGAAUUACUUACCCUUUUCCUUGUGCAAAUCCAUGUCACAUUUUCAGUGACUUGUAGACAAUAAUAAAUGUUACAAAAAAAUCGCCAACGUUUGUGAUUGCAGGUACACAAGGAUACACUCAAGCUGGGGGAGGUCACAACGUUGAGUGAGAUGCUAUCAUGUGUUGGUCAUGGUGCACUCACAUUAAAAAAAUUGUUUCUUUGAAUAUUUACAAUCCAAAACUCUUGAGUAUUUCUGAAACUUCAACUAUAGUAUCUAACAAUGGAUGUGCCUUGCUUACACUAUAUUCCCCAAAUAUUUGUAUCAAAUAUUCCCUAUAAAAACUGAAUUCAGCGAUGAAUAUUUACUCAGUGCAAUGCUUACACUCCAUUCCCUGAAUAUUUCAAGCAUUCCCUGUACAAACUGAAUUCAUUGAUGAAUUACCAGUUAGUGCAACAUUUAAACUGUAUUCCUGUACAAAUUCUGUUCAAUCACCGACCAACCGAACAACAAUGAAGUGGACAGGGAUUAGGAGGUAUAGGGGAUAAACCCCAACGAGAAUUAAAGUGAUAGACAUAGGUUUCACUCAAACCACAUGGUGAUCAAUUCCCUGUUGGGAACAAAUCCCAAACAACUAAAUAUUUCCCAGGUGGUACAGUAUAUCUCUGAAAUUGUAACAAGCCCGAAGCUCCUCUCUCUCAUAUGAUUUGAUCGCAAAGACAGGGGAAUGGAUCCAUCUCUCCUAUAUGAUAGUCCAUCCCCUUCAUUAUCUACCAAAUCACAUCCCACGGCCAUGUCUCGAGGUGGCGACGAAUAAGGUCACUGGAUGAGAGGAGACCGAAAGGAGGAAGGGAAGGAGGGUUACCUCGGAGGCCAGUCUCGCCCGUACACGGUGAC